rnacentral:rRNA from 1 species
UACGUAGGGGGCAAGCGUUGUCCGGAUUUAUUGGGCGUAAAGAGCGUGUAGGCGGCUUUACAGGUCCGUUGUGAAAACUCGAGGCUCAACCUCGAGACGCCGGUGGAAACCGUAAGGCUAGAGUCCGGAAGAGGAGAGUGGAAUUCCUGGUGUAGCGGUGAAAUGCGCAGAUAUCAGGAGGAACACCCGUGGCGAAAGCGGCUCUCUGGGACGGUACCGACGCUGAGACGCGAAAGCGUGGGGAGCAAACAGG